UGGGGAAUCUUCAGCAAUGGGCGAAAGCCUGACGGAGCAACGCCGCGUGAGUGAAGACGGCCUUCGGGUUGUAAAGCUCUGUUAUAUGGGACGAACGUAUCUAUGGUCAAUACCCAUAGAUAGUGACGGUACCGUAAGAGAAAGCCACGGCUAACUACGUGCCAGCAGCCGCGGUAAUACGUAGGUGGCAAGCGUUGUCCGGAAUUAUUGGGCGUAAAGGGCGCGCAGGCGGCCUGUCAAGUCUGUCUUAAAAGUGCGGGGCUCAACCCCGUGAUGGGACGGAAACUGGCAGGCUGGAGUGUCGGAGAGGAAAGCAGAAUUCCUAGUGUAGCGGUGAAAUGCGUAGAUAUUAGGAGGAAUACCAGUGGCGAAAGCGGCUUUCUGGACGACAACUGACGCUGAGGCGCGAAAGCCAGGGGAGCAAACG
rnacentral:rRNA from 1 species